rnacentral:lncRNA from 1 species
AUUUUUUCAUUUCAUCUAAAUUAUCAAAUUUGUUGGAGUAAAGUUAUUCCAUCAUAUUCUUUUUUUAAAAAAUAAUUUUCUUUUUUAUUUAAAUAUUGUAUUAGUUGUUGAUGGACCUUUAUUUAUUUAUAUGUGGUGCUGAGAAUCGAACCCAGUGCCUCACGCAUGCUAGGCGAGCGCGCUACCACUUGAGCCAGAUCCCCAGCCCUCCAGGUACUUUUUUAGGUCACUUGACAGCCUACUCCACUUUCCUGGCACUACUGGGCUGUGUACCUGUCAGCAGCCCAGUCUAGAGUCCCAUUCCCUCACCCACCAAAAGGCGAAGAUCAGAGUCUGAUCCAUCCGACUAUCCCCAGAUGUCCCCGCUCUGCUCCUCUGGUAGUUGCUGUAGGUGGUCCUCAUAGACCAGGCUAGAGAUGUAGAGAUGUGCAUCUGGAAGCAUGGCACAAAGUGGGGCAGAUUGGCUGAGGAGUCCGCAAAGGGUAGAGAUGGUAACCCAAUCCCCCAGGCCUCAUCCCCCCACGGCUGAAGGCCAAGUCCACGAGUCUGCAGAGGUCAUUGCACCUGCCUGGCUAAGGCACCUCCAGAGCUCUCCUUUCACCAAAUUUAGAGCCAGGACCAACUUGUUCACCUGGCACCCUGAAGUCCAGGACAGGACUAGGCACUUGGUAGGUGCUCAGUCAGUGCAUGCAGAAUGAGGGAAGGAAUGAACCCAUCAAUGAAGAAGCCAGGCCUGUGGGUCUUUGAGUGACCCUCUGAGGCUGGUCUUUGACUUCUUUACUCCGGGAAGGAUCAGCUAACCUUUGAAACAAGGAAUAGGGUCCUAUGGACUUCAGGUUCAUUUUCAUUUUAUUCUCUCACAGCUGUCUGGGGUCAGAUGUGGUACAAAUAUGUUGCUAAAACUGAGGGGAUUGUGAAAAGCCAAGUGACCGAUUCAAGGUCACACCAGCAAUGAGCAGCAGAAUCAAACCCAGAUCUGCAGGCUCCGCAGCCUGGUUGUUCUCAUACUACAUGUCCUUGAGUUAAGAAACCCCAAGGAGGUGGGCUGGGGCUGGAGCUCAGAGGUAGAGAGUGCGCUUAGCAUGUACAAGGCCCUGGGUUGAUCCCCAGCAUCAAAAAAACAAACCAAACCAAACACCAAAAGAAAAAAAACACCACAAAAAG